GUUUUUAAUUGGAAUCUGGAAUGAAUGGUUUAAUGAAAUAUAAGCUUUUUUAAUUAUUAAAAUUGAAUUUUAUUUUUUAGUUAAAAUGCUAAAAUAAAUUUUAGGGACGAGAAGACCCUUUAGAGUUUAAUAAAAUUUUAAUUAGUUAAAUUUAUAAAAUUUAUAUUUAAUUAAAAUAAUUUAUUUUAUUGGGGUGAUAUUAAAAUUUUUAUAACUUUUAAUUUUUAAUUCAAAAAUAAUUGUAUUAUUGAUCUUAAAAUUUAGAUUAAAAGUAAAAAUUACCUAAGGGAUAACAGCAUAAUUUUUUUAUAAAGUUCAAAUUAAUAGAAAAGAUUAU
rnacentral:rRNA from 1 species